AUACUACUGAUGACAUUGAGUUUUACUGGAAUGGAGGAGAGGGAGCAGUAACCGGAGUAAAUAAAAUUGAGCUUCCUCAGUUUUCAAUUGUCGACUACAAGAUGGUGUCCAAGAAGGUGGAGUUCACAACAGGGUCAUAUCCACGACUAUCACUAAGUUUCCGUCUAAA